rnacentral:rRNA from 1 species
UGGUGGAGCGAUUUGUCUGGUUAAUUCCGAUAACGAACGAGACUCUGGCCUAUUAAAUAGUUCGCCGAUUCCGAUCUGUCGGCGUUAACUUCUUAGAGGGACAAGUGGCUUUUAGCCACGCGAGAUCGAGCAAUAACA